AACGAACGCUGGCGGCGUGGCUAAGGCAUGCAAGUCGUACGGGAUGCCUGAGUAGCAAUACAAGGGUAUUCAGUGGCGGACGGGUGAGUAAUGCAUAGGUAACGUGCCUCGGACUUCGGGAUAGCGUCGGGCCCGCAAGGGUCCUUUGCGAAAGUGACGGUAAUACCGAAUGAUAUCGUUGGAAUCGCAUGGUUCUACGAUCAAAGGUGGGGACCGCAAGGCCUACUGGUCCAAGAUCGGCCUAUGUCCUAUCAGCUUGUUGGUGAGGUAACGGCUCACCAAGGCUUUGACGGGUAGCCGGCGUGAGAGCGCGACCGGCCACAUCGGAACUGAGACACUGUCCGGACACCUACGGGUGGCUGCAGCAACGAAUAUUCCGCAAUGGGCGCAAGCCUGACGGAGCGACGCCGCGUGAAGGAUG
rnacentral:rRNA from 1 species